rnacentral:ncRNA from 1 species
AAACCGGGAGAUCUCGCGGUUGGCGCGGAGCCGAAGGGGCAGCGGAAACUCUCAGGCAAAAGGACCGGUUUU